ACGCUGGCGGCACGCCUAACACAUGCAAGUCGAACGAAGUAGCAAUACUUAGUGGCAGACGGGUGAGUAACAUGUAGGAAUCUUCCCUAUGGCCUGGAAUAACACGAGGAAACUUGUGCUAAUACCGGAUAAGUCUUUACAGAGAAAGCUUUAUGCACCAUUGGAUGAGCCUGCACUUGAUUAGUUUGUUGGUGGGGUAAUGGCCUACCAAGACUUUGAUCAAUAGCUGAUUUGAGAGGAUGAUCAGCCACAUUGGGACUGAGACACGGCCCAAACUCCUACGGGAGGCAGCAGUGGGGAAUCUUGCACAAUGGAGGAAACUCUGAUGCAGCGAUGCCGCGUGAGUGAAGAAGGCCUUUGGGUUGUAAAGCUCUUUCGUCGGGGAAGAAAAUGACUGUACCCGAAUAAGAAGGUCCGGCUAACUUCGUGCCAGCAGCCGCGGUAAUACGAAGGGACCUAGCGUAGUUCGGAAUUACUGGGCUUAAAGAGUUCGUAGGUGGUUGAAAAAGUUGGUGGUGAAAUCCCAGAGCUUAACUCUGGAACUGCCAUCAAAACUUUUCAGCUAGAGUUUGAUAGAGGAAAGCAGAAUUUCUAGUGUAGAGGUGAAAUUCGUAGAUAUUAGAAAGAAUACCAAUUGCGAAGGCAGCUUUCUGGAUCAUUACUGACACUGAGGAACGAAAGCAUGGGUAGCGAAGAGGAUUAGAUACCCUCGUAGUCCAUGCCGUAAACGAUGUGUGUUAGACGUUGGGAAUUUAUUUUCAGUGUCGCAGCGAAAGCAAUAAACACACCGCCUGGGGAGUACGACCGCA
rnacentral:rRNA from 1 species